rnacentral:rRNA from 1 species
CAGUCACCGCGGUAAUACGUAGGUGGCAGGCGUUGUCCGGAAUUAUUGGGCGUAAAGGGCUCGCAGGCGGUUUCUUAAGUCUGAUGUGAAAGCCCCCGGCUCAACCGGGGAGGGUCAUUGGAAACUGGGAAACUUGAGUGCAGAAGAGGAGAGUGGAAUUCCAUGUGUAGCGGUGAAAUGCGUAGAGAUGUGGAGGAACACCAGUGGCGAAGGCGACUCUCUGGUCUGUAACUGACGCUGAGGAGCGAAAGCGUGGGGAGCGAACAGGAUUAGAUACCCGUGUAGUCCCUGUCUCUUAUAC